UUUGCAUUGUCUUUGUUAUUGUACUGACUAUUCUCUUAAAAAUAAAGUAAUUGACUUAGUUAACUUCAAGAUAAAAAAUUAAUACCUUUUUGAUUAAGUUUCAAGGACUGCAUAAUAGAAUAGAGAUAGGGCAGAGAGUUGGGGUAUAUUCCCCCAAUUCAAAAGUAUUUUCUCCAGUGACACCCACAUACAUGGCUUGUGGGAGAAGCAUCUAUAUUUAUAAUGGGCUUUGAUUGGGAUCUUUGAA
rnacentral:misc_RNA from 1 species